CUACGGGUGGCUGCAGUCGGGAAUUUUCUGCAAUGUACGAAAGUAUGACAGGGCGAGCCAGAGUGCUUUUCCGUAUUGGAAAAGCUUUUGUGUGAUGUAAAAAGUCACACGAAUAAGGACCGGGCAAGGCUGGUGCCAGCCGCCGCGGUAAUACCAGCGGUCCAAGUCGCAAUCACAUUUAUUGGGUCUAAAACAUCCGUAGCUUGUUAUGUAAGUCUCUUGUGAAAUCCCGCGUCUUAAGCGUGGAAGUGCAAGAGAUACUGCAUGGCUAGAGACCGGGAGACGUGAGGGGUACGGUUAGGGUAACGGUAAAAUGUGUUGAUCCUUUCUGGACUAACAAUAGCGAAGGCACCUCGCGAGAACGGAUCUGACAGUGAGGGAUGAAGGCUAGGGGCGCAAAACGGAUUAGAUACCCGGGUAGUC
rnacentral:rRNA from 1 species